rnacentral:rRNA from 1 species
AGCGAACGCUGGCGGCAGGCCUAAUACAUGCAAGUCGAGCGCACCCUCGGGUGAGCGGCUGACGGGUGAGUAACGCGUGGGAACGGGCGCUUUGGUAUGGGUUAAGUGAGGGAAACUUCAGCUAAUACCGUAUGUGCCCUACGGGGGUAACAUCUAUCGCCAUGUGAGCGGCCCGCGUUGGAUUAGGUAGUUGGUGAGGUAAAGGCUCACCAAGCCUACGAUCCAUAGCUGGUCUGAGAGGAUGAUCAGCCACACUGGGACUGAGACACGGCCCAGACUCCUACGGGAGGCAGCAGUAGGGAAUAUUGCGCAAUGGGCGAAAGCCUGACGCAGCGAUGCCGCGUGAAUGAUGAAGGUCUUAGGAUUGUAAAAUUCUUUCACCGGGGAAGAUAAUGACGGUACCCGAAGAAGAAGCCCCGGCUAACUACGUGCCAGCAGCCGCCGUAAAAC